GAAAAUUGCUUUUUUCAUGCUUCCUCGAGUCAUGUGUCAACUUCGAGCAACAUAACCUGCAGAUCCGAAGAUAUUUUUCCAGCGGAUCAAAUUCCCAUCUUGUUUCAGGAGUAUCUUUCUACCAUGAGGUUAGGCGAAGUCAAUACUAAAUCCUUUUUCCAACGGUUUCCUUCUUUAAUUAGGCACUUCCAAACAGCGACAAUGAGCACCCUUCUUUCGGAUUAUGAAGGUCAUCAAGCUACUGAUAAGAAGAAGAAAGGGUUAGUUAAUGCUGAAUCAGC
rnacentral:misc_RNA from 1 species